UCAUGAGCAGCCUGUGACAACUACAGAGGUAUCUUGCUACUCUCCACUGCUGGAAAGAUCCUCACCCGUGUUAUACUCAACAGACUCCUGUCAUCUGUUUCAGAGCAGAACCUGCCUGAAUCACAAUGUGGCUUCCGACCAGAUCGCAGCACCAUCGACAUGGUCUUCACGGUACCACUGUGAAACUCAAGAUAUCAUUUUCCUGCAGGGACCAUGGCUGAUGGGUCCCAGUUCCUCAGUAAAAACAUUCAUCAGUGCACACUCCUUCUUCACUGCUCCUCUCCUAUUGCCUCAGCCAGGGAUAGAGUGGGUGUCCAGUCUGUAUUUUUAAAGCCUCCCAAGUUCCAUGUUUGUUGGCAAUGAGGGUUGAGUUCCUGCCCUUAAGGCUUGGAACCUCCUGAAUCCAAGGUGUUCACUCCUUCAGUACCCAGACACAGACCAGCCAGAGUGUCCUCAGCCAAGGCUACAGCUAAAAUAGCUGCUCUCAAGGUCUUCUGCCUGUAGAUUUAGAUUUUGCAGGCUUCUCCAGUUGAGCAAACAAGGUGAGGUUGCUAAUCCUACCCUCCCUGGCUGCUUUGUGGAUUCCCUUUUCUAUCAGGGUCUGUUAGAAAUUUUUCUCCCUAGUUGUCCAUAGAUUUUAGGUUCAUUGGGACUCCUAUCUGUUUUUGCUGCUUUUAGUGUUGAUUUAUGUAGUGUUUUUUUUUUCGUUAUUUGUGGAAGGUGAAAAACUUCAGAUACCACUCCACCAUCUUCCAACAAUGCCGGUGUCUCCUCUUCCAUUUAAUGCACUUUAAAAUCUAGGCAAUAUGAAAUCAUUAUCCACCCCCCCUUUUUUUUUUCCUUAUGACUGAUUUAUUUUAGUGGCAAUUUAGAGGCCCUGUGGUAUCAUAUACCAUUCAAUCAUUAUUGAAUACCACUACCAAUCAAACCAACCAAUCAUUAUAACAUCUAUACUAUAUAGCAAAAGUUAAAGUGCUGUUAACACAUUAUAAGACCCUUGAGUAAGUGUUGGUUGACUUUACUUGAUAGAACCUCCCUGUAGAGAGAAAGUUUCUCUUCUUUUAGACUUUGUCCAGAAUAACCUACAUAAUAUUUGCCCUUGCUGAGCAUAUUUCCUCCCAUUUGGUGCCCUUUAAUGUUGUCUCCUUUAUCUCAGCUACUAUGGGAUAUUGUAUGAAUAGAGACAUGCCCUGAUUAAUGUCUUAAAGCCUGUCUUUUGUUUGUUCCCAAUCAAAU
rnacentral:lncRNA from 1 species